rnacentral:rRNA from 1 species
UACGUAGGGAGCGAGCGUUGUCCGGAUUUACUGGGCGUAAAGGGCGCGUAGGCGGUCUGUUUAGUGUGAAGUGAAAUCUCCAGGGCUCAACCCGGAAACUGCUUUGCAAACUGGCAGACUAGAGGAAGGUAGAGGUAAGUGGAAUUCCCGGUGUAGCGGUGACAUGCAUUGAUACCGGGAGGAACACCCAUGGCGAAGGCAGCUUACUGGACCUUAUCUGACGCUGAGGCGCGAAAGCGUGGGUAGCAAACAGG